rnacentral:rRNA from 1 species
UCUCCUACGGGACGCAGCAGUGGGAAUAUUGGUCAAUGGGCGGGAGCCUGAACCAGCCAAGUCGCGUGAAGGAAGAAGGUACUUAGUAUUGUAAACUUCUUUUGUCGGGGAACAAAGGCGGAGACGCGUCUCCGGAUGAGUGUACCCGAAGAAAAAGCAUCGGCUAACUCCGUGCCAGCAGCCGCGGUAAUACGGAGGAUGCGAGCGUUAUCCGGAUUUAUUGGGUUUAAAGGGUGCGUAGGCGGGAUGCCAAGUCAGCGGUAAAAAUGCGGUGCUCAACGCCGUCGAGCCGUUGACACUGGCGU